ACUCCUUUCUUGAGGUGCAAGAGGUCACACUGUGCAGGAUGGGGUGCGGGGAGAAGAAUGGGAGCCACGGGCCUUCGCCGUGUGCCGGACAUACACCAGGGAAGGUGAGCGAAUGAGCACCUUAUUGAAAAGCCAUCUUCCCCAGAAUUCCCCAGACUUGGGGGAAGGAGGGCAAAGACAGUCUUGGAACCUUGGAGCGCAGAGCCAGCCAGCCAGCCUGCACCUGCAGGGACACGGGAGGAGCCCUUUACGAGCAUCUCAGAGAAAGGAAGCGGCAGCAGCAAGCAGCGGAGGCGGAUGUGAUCCAGGACAGGUCUGGCGGGAGAGGGGGCGGUAUGGGGGGCGCAGCCCCCAGCGCUCCUGGGACAGCUUUGAGACUUUGGUCCUUCCCCAAAGGAAAGCAUUUCACCCGGCAGCAGUCCACCUUCUAGAAACCCUCACACUGAGCCUUCAGAGACUCCAGAGAAGGAGCUUUUCUAUCUGACUGCCUGGUACACGGCCCAUGACGUUCACUCUGUGUGCUCACUUAUCUGCUGCAGGAUGAAUUACGUUCCAGGCUAAAUGCGAGAAUCUGAAAAAUGUGACUGCUGAACAGGGCUGAAUCCUUGUGCUUAAAGGAGCAGAUGGCAAUUCCUCCCUGGAGUCUGACUUUUUCUCUUUUUGCUCUGCCUCUGGCACACGGGGACCUCGGCCUCGGCCCUGCAGUCUCCAGGACUUGAAGAGAUGUCUCCAAACAGACCAACCCAUUCCUGUCCAGCUUGUUCAGAGGCUCUGCGGGUGACAGAGUGACAGCAAUGGCUACCCAAGUGUGGGGUUUACCUUGUGGGGUUCUCUUCCUCUACCUGUGAUUAACGGAGACUUCAUCACUUCCUGGGGACCCCUGAUCUGUAAAUUACAGCGAACAAUAACUGAAGCCUUCUGAUUUGCUUGGCACCUAAGUGCUUUGUAUACAGUAUCUCAUUUAACCCUUCUAACUACCCCAUGAGGUAGGGGCUACCACUAUCCCCACUUUACAGAUGAGGAAACUGAGGCUCAAAGAGGUUAAAUAACUUGCCAAGUCAUACAGCUAGGAAGUGGUGGUGGUGCCCCAGGACUCCAGCCCCACCGGUCUAACACCUCGGCCCAUGCUCUCAACGCCCCUGCUUUGUUCAACACCUCUCACUUGAGCAAGAGUGUGUCAAACUCCAAACACCUUUUGGCUUUUUAUAAGGCACUCCCUACCCACCAGCCCAGGUCUCUCAGCUGCACAGCACAGUCUCACGGGCUCUUCUCACAGGAAAGAACAGCCAAGGGCUGGACGGAGGCCACCCUCUGCUCAUCGCUGAUUCCCAAGGCCUGAGAGAGGGGCUGGAGGACAAGGAGGACCAAAUUAAUCUGGGCACUGGGCUCCAGGGAAGGGCUUGAGCGCCAAGGUCAAUACCAAAGCACUGGACCUUCAUGAUGCUUUUCAAGGCAAGACGGUAAGAGUCCAGUGGAGCGCAAAGGCCUCCUCCUUAGGGAGGCCAACAGAGCGGAGAAGUGCAGAGGGCAACACCAACGGGAGGCCCUGAGAUCUACCCCAACCCGGUCCGAGCCUCCAGCGCUGCCGGGGCUCCUGGACAGACUCUUGUUCUGGCAUCUUCACCUGGAGGUAGCUUUAAAGGAGCGUGUGCUUACAGGCUGUGCUGCUGAACCCCCAUUACUCUGUUAUCUUGUCUUACCUAGUGAUGCCACAAGGCUCUUUCAAAAAACUGUUACCAUGGGAACUUUUCCCUCUCAAGCAUUUUUCAAGAAAUGUUACAGGUGCUGGAGAAUCCAACGCCCUUGGUCUCACCAAGCAUUUUCUGAGUCUUUGAACGUGUGGCUUCAAUAAAGAGGACUUUCAAACCCAUGAUGCAAGGGUUUUGAACACAAAUCUCUUCAAGGGAUGGGGUUAAUCACACAGGGCAUGGGGUGCUAUGAUGG